GAUGAACGCUGGCGGCGUGCCUAAUACAUGCAAGUCGAGCGAACGGAUGAGAAGCUUGCUUCUCUGAUGUUAGCGGCGGACGGGUGAGUAACACGUGGAUAACCUACCCAUAAGACUGGGAUAACUUCGGGAAACCGGAGCUAAUACCGGAUAAUAUUUUGAACCGCAUGGUUCAAAAGUGAAAGACGGUCUUGCUGUCACUUAUAGAUGGAUCCGCGCUGCAUUAGCUAGUUGGUAAGGUAACGGCUUACCAAGGCAACGAUGCAUAGCCGACCUGAGAGGGUGAUCGGCCACACUGGAACUGAGACACGGUCCAGACUCCUACGGGAGGCAGCAGUAGGGAAUCUUCCGCAAUGGGCGAAAGCCUGACGGAGCAACGCCGCGUGAGUGAUGAAGGUCUUCGGAUCGUAAAACUCUGUUAUUAGGGAAGAACAUAUGUGUAAGUAACUGUGCACAUCUUGACGGUACCUAAUCAGAAAGCCACGGCUAACUACGUG
rnacentral:rRNA from 1 species